rnacentral:rRNA from 1 species
AACGAACGCUGGCGGCAUGCCUAACACAUGCAAGUCGAACGAGACCUUCGGGUCUAGUGGCGCACGGGUGCGUAACGCGUGGGAACCUGCCCUUAGGUUCGGAAUAACUCCCCGAAAGGGGUGCUAAUACCGGAUAAUGUCUUCGGACCAAAGAUUUAUCGCCUUUGGAUGGGCCCGCGUUGGAUUAGCUAGUUGGUAGGGUAAAAGCCUACCAAGGCGACGAUCCAUAGCUGGUCUGAGAGGAUGAUCAGCCACACUGGGACUGAGACACGGCCCAGACUCCUACGGGAGGCAGCAGUGGGGAAUAUUGGACAAGGGGCGAAAGCCUGAUCCAGCAAUGCCGCGUGAGUGAUGAAGGCCGUAGGGUUGUAAAGCUCUUUUACCCGGGAUGAUAAUGACAGUACCGGGAGAAUAAGCUCCGGCUAACUCC